UUCGCAAUGCCCGAAAGGGUGACGAAGCGACGCCGCGUGCGGGAAGAGGGCCUUCGGGUUGUAAACCGCUGUCGGGAGUUAGGAAGUGCAAGGAUGUUAAUAGCGUUCUUGCUUGACUAAGGCUCCGGAGGAAGCCACGGCUAACUCUGUGCCAGCAGCCGCGGUAAUACAGAGGCGGCAAGCGUUGUUCGGAAUUAUUGGGCGUAAAGAGCACGUAGGCGGCUGUGUAAGUCGGUUGUGAAAGCCUUCCGCUCAACGGAAGAACAGCAUCCGAUACUACAUGGCUUGAGUGUGGGAGGGGAGAGUGGAACUUCUGGUGGAGCGGUGAAAUGCGUAGAUAUCAGAAGGAACGCCGGCGGCGAAAGCGGCUCUCUGGCCCAUAACUGACGCUGAGUGUGCGAAAGCUAGGGGAGCAAACGGGAUUAGAUACCCCGGUAGUCCUAGCCGUAAACGAUGGGCACUAAGUAGAGGGGUUUU
rnacentral:rRNA from 1 species